AACCAAAAAGAAAAAGGGGGUCUCUCUUUCUUUCUUUCCCGCCAUUUCAAUGAAUCUGCUGACUUCUCCGCGGCUGAUACAAAUACCGUAAGAACACACACAUACGCACAGAGAAAUCAUUUCUCUGCUCCACAAAAAUGGAGUUUAGCCUGAGUGGGAACGCCCUAAAAACCUUCGCAAGGUGCAUCACUUGCCUCGCACGCAUUGGCAACGAGCUCGCCAUUCAAGCCUCUCCUUCGCAGCUUGCUUGCCACACACUCAACUCAUCGAGAUCUGCAUAUCAGUCUAUUACAUUCAAACCUGAUUUUUUUGAUGCCUAUACAAUCUCCGGUACACAAGUGCAAUGUAGUGUGCUUUUGAAGGCCAUUUGUUCUGUUCUUAGGACACCUCUUACAAGUGUCGAUCAUUUAAGUGUGUUGUUGCCUGAUCGCGAUGCAUCAAAAGUGCAGUGGACUUUAGACUGCUUUAAUGGUGUAAGGAAAGCCUAUUGGAUUACUUGCAACGUUGAACCCGACAUACAAUACCUUUCUCUUGAUAGGAGUAAGAUUCCGAGCAGCUUUGUGGUGAGACCUCGUGAUCUGAACAGAUUGCUGGGUAAUUUCCAGUCAAACCUUCAGGAGAUAACUAUUAUUGCAACAGAACCCACAUCCUCACCUUCUGAUGCGGCAAGUGAAAUUGGAGGGAAAGCUGUUGAACUAAGAAGUUACAUAGACCCAACCAAAGAGAAUGAAUCAUCGCUACACACUCAGCUAUGGAUAGAUCCAACUGAAGAGUUUGUGCAAUAUACUCACACUGGGGACCCUGUUGAUGUUACAUUCGGUGUGAAGGAAUUGAAGGCGUUUUUCUCUUUUUGUGAAGGUUGUGAAGUUGACAUCCAUCUAUUUUUUGAGAAGGCUGGCGAGCCUAUUCUAAUGGCACCAAAAUUCGGUCUAGAUGAUGGCUCCACUUCAAACUUCGAUACUACGCUUGUUCUUGCAACAAUGCUUACAUCGCAGCUGCAUGAAGGAAAUACCUCAGAACCUCCACCUCCCGCUGCUACAAUGCAUGGCCAAGCUGGUCAUGGAACAGGGUCCCAAGCAAAAGAGAGACCAAGAGGGAGUGUGUCCGAUCAUCCAUCUGAUCACACCAGAAUUUGGUCAGAUAUCUCAGGAAGUGGGGCCAAAAGUGGUAAUGGUGUGGAAGAAAGGCAUGCUGAAGGGGGCAGGAAUCCAGUUAAUGAACGGGUGGAGAUUCAGAGGAUUAGUGAAAUGCAUAUUUCUAAUGCUCAGCCCGCCAUGGGAAAUGUGGCAGGUGUUCCUAAUUCCUGCCAUACGAUGGAAACAGAUCGUGCACAAGAACCUCAAGAAAGGGCAGACAUAGCCGGUCAUGGUUUAUCACAACACCAUCCUAGUAACUGGGUAGAUGCUGGAGAGGAGGAAGAUGAAGGGGACGAGGCUGAACUGUGUGUCCAGUCAACGCCACCCUACAAUGAAGAAUGAUAUGGAUCAUAACUAUUUCUUGGUCCAAAGCAAGGAUGACUGCUAUAUUCUGUUUUAGUUCGUGCCCUGUGCAAAGUUACUUAAUGGCUCUGGAUGGUUACCGGAUGACCUUAAACAACCCAAACAACCAAUUAUGCACUGGUGCUAUGGAGCAAGAGGAAGCUGGAAAGUUUAUUUGUAUCAACGCUAGAAUACUUAGUCAGUUAGAUUUUAGCUUAAUAUUUAGUGUGACAACCACCCAAGUGACUUUCCUGGACUUCUCCGAAGAGAAAUGCGGGCAGUGUGGGGGUUGAGGUAUUCUUAUGAAGAUAAUGAACCAGGAAGAAUUGAGAUACUAGUUGAAAAUGGGUGGGUAUAAAUUGUUUAAAUGAA